rnacentral:rRNA from 2 species
UAGGGAAUCUUCCACAAUGGACGCAAGUCUGAUGGAGCAACGCCGCGUGAGUGAAGAAGGUUUUCGGAUCGUAAAGCCCUGUUGUUGGUGAAGAAGGAUAGAGGUAGUAACUGGCCUUUAUUUGACGGUAAUCAACCAGAAAGUCACGGCUAACUACGUGCCAGCAGCCGCGGUAAUACGUAGGUGGCAAGCGUUGUCCGGAUUUAUUGGGCGUAAAGCGAGCGCAGGCGGAAGAAUAAGUCUGAUGUGAAAGCCCUCGGCUUAACCGAGGAACUGCAUCGGAAACUGUUUUUCUUGAGUGCAGAAGAGGAGAGUGGAAUUCCAUGUGUAGCGGUGGAAUGCGUAGAUAUAUGGAAGAACACCAGUGGCGAAGGCGACUCUCUGGUCUGCAACUGACGCUGAGGCUCGAAAGCAUGGGUAGCGAACAGG